UACGGGGGGGGCAAGCGUUGUUCGGAAUUACUGGGCGUAAAGGGCGCGUAGGCGGCCUGCUAAGUCGGACGUGAAAUCCCUCGGCUCAACCGGGGAACUGCGUCCGAUACUGGCGAGGCUUGAAUCCGGGAGAGGGAUGUGGAAUUCCAGGUGUAGCGGUGAAAUGCGUAGAUAUCGGAAGGAACAUCAGUGGCGAAAGCGACUUCCUGGACCAAUACUGACGCUCAUGUGCGAAAGCGUGGGGAGCAAACAGG
rnacentral:rRNA from 1 species